GACGAACGCUGGCGGCGUGCUUAACACAUGCAAGUCGAACGGAAAGGCCCUGCUUGCCGGGUACUCGAGUGGCGAACGGGUGAGUAACACGUGGGUGAUCUGCCCUGCACUUCGGGAUAAGCCUGGGAAACUGGGUCUAAUACCGGAUAGGAGCCAUCUUUAGUGUGAUGGUUGGAAAGUUUUUUCGGUGUAGGAUGAGCUCGCGGCCUAUCAGCUUGUUGGUGGGGUAAUGGCCUACCAAGGCGGCGACGGGUAGCCGGCCUGGGAGGGUGGACGGCCACAUUGGGACUGGGAUACGGCCCAGACUCCUACGGGAGGCAGCAGUGGGGAAUAUUGCACAAUGGGCGCAAGCCUGAUGCAGCGACGCCGCGUGGGGGAUGACGGCCUUCGGGUUGUAAACUCCUUUCGCUAGGGACGAAGCUUUUUGUGACGGUACCUAGAGAAGAAGCACCGGCUAACUACGUG
rnacentral:rRNA from 1 species